rnacentral:miRNA from 1 species
CAAGUCUCUUGUAUGAUCAUUC